rnacentral:pre_miRNA from 1 species
UUUACUGACGUUUCGGCUGGUGGACCAGCCUUUGUCAAAGUCAACUGUGUCAGUUAGUGGAUUUAGUCUUUGACAAAGGCUGGUCCACCAGCCGAAACGUCAGUAAAU